rnacentral:rRNA from 1 species
GAGUAGAGUGGCGCACGGGUGAGUAACGCGUAAGUAAUCUACCCUGGUGUCUGGGAUAACAAUUCGAAAGGAUUGCUAAUACCGGAUACGCUGAUUUAUCAGGAAAGGUGGCCUCUUCAUGAAAGCUACUGCAUUAGGAGGAGCUUGCGUACCAUUAGCUAGUUGGUAGGGUAAUGGCCUACCAAGGCAACGAUGGUUAGCGGGUCUGAGAGGAUGAUCCGCCACACUGGAACUGGAACACGGACCAGACUCCUACGGGAGGCAGCAGUGAGGAAUAUUGCGCAAUGGGGGAAACCCUGACGCAGCGACGCCGCGUGAAUGAUGAAGGCCUUCGGGUCGUAAAAUUCUGUCAGAUGGGAAGAAGUGUUACAUGUUUAAUAUACAUGUAAUUUGACGGUACCAUCAAAGGAAGCACCGGCUAACUCCGUGCCAGCAGCCGCGGUAAUACGGAGGGUGCAAGCGUUGUUCGGAAUUACUGGGCGUAAAGCGCGCGUAGGCGGUUUUAUAAGUCAGAUGUGAAAGUCCAUGGCUCAACCAUGGAAGUGCAUUUGAAACUGUGGAACUUGAGUAUUGGAGGGGGUAGUGGAAUUCCCGGUGUAGAGGUGAAAUUCGUAGAUAUCGGGAGGAAUACCGGUGGCGAAGGCGACUACCUGGCCAAAUACUGACGCUGAGGUGCGAAAGCGUGGGGAGCAAACAGGAUUAGAUACCCUGGUAGUCCACGCCGUAAACGAUGUGAACUAGGUGUUGGGAUGGUUAAUCGUCUCAUUGCCGCAGCUAACGCAUUAAGUUCACCGCCUGGGGAGUACGGUCGCAAGAUUAAAACUCAAGGAAUUGACGGGGGCCCGCACAAGCGGUGGAGUAUGUGGUUUAAUUCGACGCAACGCGCA